ACGUACACUCCUGCGGGAGGCAGCAGUGGGGAAUAUUGCACAAUGGGCGCAAGCCUGAUGCAGCCAUGCCGCGUGUAUGAAGAAGGCCUUCGGGUUGUAAAGUACUUUCAGCGGGGAGGAAGGUGUUGAGGUUAAUAACCUCAGCAAUUGACGUUACCCGCAGAAGAAGCACCGGCUAACUCCGUGCCAGCAGCCGCGGUAAUACGGAGGGUGCAAGCGUUAAUCGGAAUUACUGGGCGUAAAGCGCACGCAGGCGGUCUGUCAAGUCGGAUGUGAAAUCCCCGGGCUCAACCUGGGAACUGCAUUCGAAACUGGCAGGCUAGAGUCUUGUAGAGGGGGGUAGAAUUCCAGGUGUAGCGGUGAAACGCGUAGAGAUCUGGAGGAAUACCGGUGGCGAAGGCGGCCCCCUGGACAAAGACUGACGCUCAGGUGCGAAAGCGUGGGGAGCAAACAGGAUUAGAAACCCUAGUAGUCC
rnacentral:rRNA from 1 species